rfam:Erinaceus europaeus unplaced genomic scaffold scaffold00055, whole genome shotgun sequence
UGUGGAUCUGGCUGGCGAGGCAGGUGUCCCCUCCUGCCCUUGCUGCUCUUUUGUGUUCCUCUCAUAGCACUGUAUGCAUUCAAAAAGGAUGACGUUCCCCUAAUAGAGACGAUGGUCUUCUGUCAAGGGUAAAUGAGAAGCUGCUUCCCUGCUAGAGGCUCAGAACAAACUCAAGAUCAAAAGCCCUACAGCAGCUCCAGAGCCCCCUCCUCCAAGUGGGGAAGUCCAGCAGAAAGGCUUUUCCCCAGUCCUUGCAGCCCACUGAUUUUCAGUGGGACACCUC